rnacentral:rRNA from 1 species
UGCAAGUCGAGGGGUAUGGUUCUUCGGAACCAGAGACCGGCGCACGGGUGCGUAACGCGUAUGCAAUCUACCUUUCACAGAGGGAUAGCCCAGAGAAAUUUGGAUUAAUACCUCAUAGUAUAUAGACUUGGCAUCAAGAUUAUAUUAAAGAUUUAUCGGUGAAAGAUGAGCAUGCGUCCCAUUAGCUAGUUGGUAUGGUAACGGCAUACCAAGGCUACGAUGGGUAGGGGUCCUGAGAGGGAGAUCCCCCACACUGGUACUGAGACACGGACCAGACUCCUACGGGAGGCAGCAGUGAGGAAUAUUGGACAAUGGGCGCAAGCCUGAUCCAGCCAUGCCGCGUGCAGGAUGACGGUCCUAUGGAUUGUAAACUGCUUUUAUACAGGAAGAAACACUGGUUCGUGAACCAGCUUGACGGUACUGUAAGAAUAAGGAUCGGCUAACUCCGUGCCAGCAGCCGCGGUAAUACGGAGGAUCCAAGCGUUAUCCGGAAUCAUUGGGUUUAAAGGGUCCGUAGGCGGUCAGAUAAGUCAGUGGUGAAAGCCCAUCGCUCAACGGUGGAACGGCCAUUGAUACUGUCUGACUUGAAUUAUUAGGAAGUAACUAGAAUAUGUAGUGUAGCGGUGAAAUGCUUAGAGAUUACAUGGAAUACCAAUUGCGAAGGCAGGUUACUACUAAUAUAUUGACGCUGAUGGACGAAAGCGUGGGUAGCGAACAGGAUUAGAUACCCUGGUAGUCCACGCCGUAAACGAUGGAUACUAGCUGUUGGAAGCAAUUUCAGUGGCUAAGCGAAAGUGAUAAGUAUCCCACCUGGGGAGUACGAACGCAAGUUUGAAACUCAAAGGAAUUGACGGGGGCCCGCACAAGCGGUGGAGCAUGUGGUUUAAUUCGAUGAUACGCGAGGAACCUUACCAAGGCUUAAAUGUAGUUUGACCGGUUUGGAAACAGACUUUUCGCAAGACAAAUUACAAGGUGCUGCAUGGUUGUCGUCAGCUCGUGCCGUGAGGUGUCAGGUUAAGUCCUAUAACGAGCGCAACCCCUGUUGUUAGUUGCCAGCGAGUCAUGUCGGGAACUCUAACAAGACUGCCAGUGUAAACUGUGAGGAAAGGUGGGGGAUGACGUCCAAUCAUCACGGCCCUUACGCCUUGGG